UCGAGCGGCAGCGGGUCCUUCGGGAUGCCGGCGAGCGGCGGACGGGUGAGUAUGCCUAGGAAUCUGCCUGGUAGUGGGGGAUAACUCGGGGAAACUCGAGCUAAUACCGCAUACGUCCUACGGGAGAAAGCGGGGGAUCUUCGGACCUCGCGCUACCAGAUGAGCCUAGGUCGGAUUAGCUAGUUGGUGAGGUAAAGGCUCACCAAGGCGACGAUCCGUAGCUGGUCUGAGAGGAUGAUCAGCCACACUGGAACUGAGACACGGUCCAGACUCCUACGGGAGGCAGCAGUGGGGAAUAUUGGACAAUGGGCGAAAGCCUGAUCCAGCCAUGCCGCGUGUGUGAAGAAGGUCUUCGGAUUGUAAAGCACUUUAAGUUGGGAGGAAGGGCAGUAAGUUAAUACCUUGCUGUUUUGACGUUACCGACAGAAUAAGCACCGGCUAACUUCGUGCCAGCAGCCGCGGUAAUACGAAGGGUGCAAGCGUUAAUCGGAAUUACUGG
rnacentral:rRNA from 1 species